rnacentral:lncRNA from 1 species
UCACGCUGUCAUGUCUGAUAAAAAUUAUACCAAGUUUAUUUUAAAAUCUAUAGAAUGUUUCAUCGAGUUGCAGAAUUAUCAGUGACUGAUGAGAAAGAGAAACGCUGUGAGGACUUUGAAUACAGUGAUCAGUUGUUUUACACAUACCAACCAUGAAAGUCGCGAUACUCUUGUGCGUACUACCGUUUGUCGUGGCAUUUGUGUCACCCCCUCUGGAAGAUAUCCCCGACUCUUCAAAUGUGCGUCACAUGCCCAGGGUUUGACACAAGCUGGUGGGAAGUCAGAAGACACUAAUAAAUUCCUUCUAGAAAUUGAAAACAGAUCCCUAAAAAAAGCACUCGAGGCACAAAGGAACGCAACGAUCGAAGCCGAAAUAAAACUACAUUUUCUUGAAGAGGACAAAGCUAAAUUAGAAAAGGGUAUCUGCAUCAUCCAGGCAGGAACUAUUUUAGAACAAUUUGCCAACACGUAUGGGAUUGCUUACGACGACUUGGAAAAUGAGGGGCGGAAUGGUGGAAAGCUUUGAUACUUUCAAGAUGAAGAACCUAUCAAAUUUAUUUUGGAGCGUGCGCGUGUCUUCAGAUUAAGUAAAAUUACAUUGUUACAGAUAAUGAAGAGAGUGUGUACGUACAGAAUCAGCAAAUUCACAAUAAGAUUCUGAAUCGUGGUUUAAAAAUUUCGCAUUAAAUUUGGUUGUUAAAGCACCGGAGCCUGUCGUAUGGUUUUCAAAUAUGAUAGUGGAGGCUUAUGACCUCCUGUCGAAGAAAAAAGAAAAUGUACCUAAUUACGCUAAAUUAAUGCGUCAACGAGGUACUGCUGCUAAUUAAAGUUAUGUUUUUAACCUUCGUCAAAGUCAAUAAAAUCAUGUUACCGAUUUUAAAUUUUCGAAUUUUCCACAUAUUCUAAAGUAUUUUUUUAAAUUUACUUUGGAGUUAACUGUGAGAGUAUCUAGGAACCCCUAUUGCACCUAACAUUUUUGUAGAUUUCUUGGAAAAAUAUACAUUCAGAAACAUGACUAUAUUUUUCAAGUUUCUAGUAAAACAUUAGGUGAAAAAGGUAGAAAUGUGACUUUUUCUUUGAACUCGAUCUACAUUUCGUCGUCAAUCGAAAAGGGUGUCAAAAAAAUACAAUUGUUUGUGAUGUUAUCAUUGAUUUUUUGAGAGUUUCGUUAGGUUGUGAAUCUAUUCUGAUGGGCUUUUAUGACGCCUAUUUUCGUCAUUUUAGAUUUUUCUCAUUUUCUUUAAUUUUCCUCCGCUUUCCUUCAUUUCUUUUUCUUUUCUUUUAUUUUCUUAUAACAUCUCAUCAAAGUAGAGUGCAUCUCGUUAUCAACACAUUUCUUUGUAACAGUAAUCUGUUUUAGGGUGGAGCGAAAAAACAUUUUUUUCGAAAUCCGAUGACGGCUAGUGAAAAAAGGUGCCUUUUGGCACCAAAUGGACCAGGAAAAAAUCCUGGCUCAAUAGGACAACGCUUUCAUCGAAAAAUGGGCUCCUAUAGACGGCUUCCAGAGUAGAGACACCUAUAUUUUGGAAAAAGGGAUUUAUUUGACAAACAUUGAAGAGUUUAGAUAAAAUUUUUAAUUUAUUUUUAUUGAAUUUUUCGUUUUGCUGUCUCUUUUACUCGGUGUUAGAUUUUCAAUAAAAUUGAUACUGAUUUCGUGAGUUCUGUGACUGUAAUCCGUUGGUCACAAUUCACGGGAUUGUUUUCCUUGAUAUUGAUACUGAUUUGAGGAAAAACAGCUAUUAAUUUCGAGAAGAAAAUAAUUGGGAUGAAGUUGGUUUUCUCCAAUAAUUUUCAAGAAAUUCAUCCGAAUUUGUAGUCAUUUUUUAUUGAACUUUGCGUUCCAACAAGAUUUUUAUGCGAUAGUAUUUUUGGGGUAAAAUUAGUGCUGAUUUUAGAAUGAAAAACAGAGUGUCGUAAGUGGGUGAAAUCUGCUAUAAUUUCUCUAUUAGUAUGCGUAAAAUUGCUGCUGAUUUUGGAAAAAUUAGAGAGUUGAAAUGAAUGUCUGUUUUUUACCAUGCUAUUGGAAAAUUUACAUCAAUUUCAAGUAAUUAAAAUAUUGAACUUUGCGUUUCGACUGGUUUUUUUUAAAUAAUAUUUUUUUUGUAAAAUUAGGUUAAUUUUAGAUUGAAAAAGAGAGUGUUGUAAAUGGGUAGAAUCUGGUGUAAUUUCUUGAUUGAUUUUUGCUGAAAAUGGUAUUGACUGUCACACCAGAUCGUCCUAAGAAUAAAACUUUCUUAAAAAAUGCAUAGGUUUUCCAGAGACAUAUUUUGCAGAUAAAAUUGACAACAUCUGAACGGGCUUACAGCGUACUUUCUCAACACUAACGGAUACUGGAUAGAGCUGUCACAGCAGGUUAUGCCUGAUUAGGCGAAUGGAAAACCAUUCCAUGCUGACUGAUGAUUCGCGAUUUUCAGCUGAAAUAAUGCGAAAUUUCGAAAUUUUGAUGACACUCGAAACUGCACUUCCUCCCGGAUUUUUCCACUUUUGCUUCUUCGAGAGUACCUAUAUUUGCUUCGCUUUUAUGCUGAGCAGCUUUGUCGGUCAGACAGCCCACCAACAAGAUUUUAGUUUUUCACAUCCGCUUUCAAGUUACUGACGGCCGCAUUCCCACUGCAGAUUUUUGAAUAUUCAGCUCGAAUAAAUAAUCUCUCAUCAAAAGAGAAUUCGGCGCUGAAAUACACCUCGAGCUGACUGGGCCCAUAGUUUCAUAAUGUCAUUAUUUCGCUGAAAGAAAUCAGUUAAAUCUUAGCAAUUACGUCUGAACUACUUGCCUCAGAAAAUAUCCUGACUUGAACCAAUGACGCGACAUUAGCCACAGCAAUUCUUUGGAUUUAAAAAAAAAAAUAAAUAAUUAAUUAAUCAUUAUACGAUAGGGACGAAUUUGGACGUAUUUCUGUCAAACAGAACUAUGUGUAUUAUGACGUGAGUCCUGUUAUGCAUUCAUUCUUAUGGGUCUCAGGGCUCAUGUCAUGAUGUAUAUAGUUCCUUUUUGACAGAAAUACUGUCCAAUUUACAAUUAGCCUUUUCAGCAAAGUGCUCUGGCAUAUGAUUCAGACCGUUUAAAAUAAAUACCGACGACGAAACUACCAAACUACGUACCUCGUUUGUGGUGUUUUAAAAUCUCCGCUCCCAUUUAUUUUAUGGAGGAAAAAAAUUAACAUCAUUCCACGAAUUUUCACAAUUUUUUUUUUUGGUAAAGAAAAAUCUUCAAAGUCUUAAAAAUCAACGAUAAGUAGUUUCCUAUUUGACCUAUUUCUGCCAAUCGGAUCUACAUUAAGACAUGAUUAAGAUUUUUAAGAUUUAAGAUUUUAAGAUUUUGUGCAUUAAGACAGAGCCUUAAGACCCAUAAGAUUACAUGCAUAUCAGGGCUCACGUCAUGAUGCACAUAGUUCCGUUUGACAGAAAUGCGUCCAUUUAAAAUAUAAACGUCUCAAACCGAGACAUGUUGUUUGGAGGUUUCAUCAUGGGUUUACGAUGUGAUUUUGCUUUGAGCUAAUCUAGUGGUUCCACUCAUCUCGAAGGGUCUCCUAUAGGUCAGGGCUGCCGGAAGUUCUACUUAGUAAAAUUAGUCACUAUAGCAGCCUCAAAAUUUUGUCACUCUCAGAGGAUUACUUCAUUUAAUAGUUAGAGGAACAUGCAGAGUAGAGCCAAACACUCACAAAAAUAUGUGCGCUCUUCGGAUUUUUUUUGUCCAUUUUUCUCCAAGAAGGUUGGUGGCUCUAGUUUGCACUGUCUACCGAAAAUCAAUAGGAAUAAAAGAAAAUUAAGGAGCAAAUGAAUCUCCCCCCCCCCCCCCUGCCCCUCCGGUCAACCUGGUGGGCGACCCAUCCCCUUCCGAAACAAAAACCUGGCUACGUGUCCGCGCAUGACGUCAGAAUAAAUAACUAAAACUAAAGAGCAUAUCGUAGUAGAGAGCAUCCGUGACACGUAGGUCUAAUCUCUUAUCCUAGUCCAGUCAAUUAGAUCAGAAAUCUCUAAUUAGGG